GCGCGGAUAGUUUAGCCCGGUUAUAACGACUUAUUACAUAUAUAUACAUUGUAAAACGUUAAACGCUCACACCGUGUAGGUCGGGGGUUCGAAUCCCUCUCCGCGCA
rnacentral:tRNA from 1 species